rnacentral:lncRNA from 1 species
GAGAUUUUCCUGGGUUACAACUCAAGAUUGCGGGGUAUGUGGCUAAAGAAGGAAGUCGACAAGAUUAGUCCUCAGCCUCCUCCUUGCAAGUACCAUUAUCUUGGUUUUCUGCAUUUCUUCUCCCCACUAAAGAUAAGUUUGUAAGGCUUAGUUGAGUGAGUAUUCCUUUGCAGCUCGGUUUUCAUCUGGCGGUAUUCCUUCAAUCAAUCUGGUGCUCUGAUCAAAGGUAUUGUCUGUGCUCCUUUUAUUUCCAUUAGGUGAAGCAUACCUUGCUUGCUCCUGGAGUCCCUUUGGCCUCAACGAGGCCCCGCUAGUGGGAGGGAGUAACAUAAUAUUCUGGACAUGUUUGUUAUUAUCCACAAUAGACCUGUGUUGAGAACUUGCAAUUCUUGGAGCUAUCAUUUUUGCAUUCAAAAUCAUAUAGACCUGCUGCUGUCUAGAACAUCUUUUCUUAUUUAAGAUGUUGUUUAUAUUGCUGCCAUGUUGUUUCUUCAUAUCGGUGUUUUUUGAAAAAUAAUAUGGUUUCUUUAAAUUUAGUGACAUGCUAUGGCUACCUUGUACCAUCUGGCUCCCCUUGGUAAUUCAGGAUUUUGUGCUAAUCUUUUUGACAUACAUGGUUGUUCUUGACAUGUGUGGCUGGUAUCCUUCAUAGAGCACAAAGUGUUCUUACAUAGCUAAUGUUUUUCAAUUUUUUUCUUUUCAGGAUGUCCUUUCACAUGAUUCUAUGAUUACCCGAGUCCAUGAAGCAAUCAAUAAUCUUCCUGAAAUAUUUUAUGUCUAAGCGCACAAUGGUUGAACAAUUGCCUCAAUAAAUUUGGUUAUGUAGCAUCCGGACGAGACGAGACAAGUAUGCCUCGAUAAAUUUGUAAUUUAAACUACUGACUUUGAGCACUAUGAGUUAUCGGAACUAUGUUCAAAUGGAUGAUUGCAAAAAUAUUAUCCUUUUUUUGAUGUGGUUGUACUGUUAUAUAAAUCAAAAAUUUAGCUCAUUUUAUACCUGUGCAAUUUGUGUGGAAGUGCAGUCUGUGCUGUUGAAAAUUCUGUACGUGUGUAUUAGAAAGUCUGUGCUGUUGAAAAGCUAUACAUUUGGGUGCCAUGCAUGUUUGAGCAUAUAUGUAGUGCUGCAACUUGGGCGCCAUGUAUAUUUUACAACCGAAUUGAAACUGGAGCCAACUUACAGGGGUGGCAGAAAAACAACAUUCCAAGCGGAG